UUAGCAGAGAUGCUUGGUGCUCGGAACGUCUGAGGACAGGUGCUGCAUGGCUGUCGUCAGCUCGUGUUGUGAAAUGUUGGGUUAAGUCCCGNAACGAGCGCAACCCUUAUCCUUUGUUGCCAGCGGCUCGGCCGGGAACUCAAAGGAGACUGCCGGUGAUAAACCGGAGGAAGGUGGGGAUGACGUCAAGUCAUCAUGGCCCUUACGGCCAGGGCUACACACGUGCUACAAUGGCGCAUACAAAGAGAAGCGACCUCGCGAGAGCAAGCGGACCUCAUAAAGUGCGUCGUAGUCCGGAUUGGAGUCUGCAACUCGACUCCAUGAAGUCGGAAUCGCUAGUAAUCGUAGAUCAGAAUGCUACGGUGAAUACGUUCCCGGGCCUUGUACACACCGCCCGUCACACCAUGGGAGUGGGUUGCAAAAGAAGUAGGUAGCUUAACCUUCGGGAGGGCGCUUACCACUUUGUGAUUCAUGACUGGGGUGAAGUCGUAACAAGGUAGGCGUACGUGU
rnacentral:rRNA from 1 species